CAAUAUUUUAACGAGGGUAACUCGUACGCUGUAAUCGUGGACAUGAUGUCAAGUCUACACGGUGUAAACAUCAGCUUGAGGACUCUUAAAAGUAAACUGAACGAAGCCGGGUUGUACCGCAGAAAGGAUUAUUCCUCGCCAAACGCCGUGAGUAACGCCAUCAGAUUUGAACUUCGUGGACCUGGACAACUACUCAAUGAGACCUAACUAUAUGUGGCACGCAGAUGGUUAUGACAAACUUAAGCCAUUCGGUUUGGCCAUUUCGGGAUGCAUAGAUGGAUUUUCACGUAAAGUAUUGUGGCUUCAAUGUGGACCAACAAAUAAUAACCCAACAGUGAUUGCUCACUAAUUCAUGUCAUGUGUGCGAAACCUCGGUGUCAUCCCCAUGAGACUGAGGACUGAUUGCGGCACUGAGAACGGCAUAAUGGCUGCAAUUCAAUGUACCCUACGCCACCAUCACAGUGACUACUACUCUGGAGCGUCCAGCCACAUGUACGGCUCAUCUAUAAAUAGCCAGCAUAUUGAGUCCUGGUGGUCUAUAUUUAGAAAGGGAAGGUCUCAGUUCUGGAUGGAGUUAUUUGCCGACCUUAGAGAUGCCGGAUACUUCAACGGGAGUCAUGAGCAUCAAUGCCUAUUGAGAUAUUGCUUUGGUGAUGUUAUUCAGAAGGACUUGGAUGAGUGUGUGACUGUGGAACAGCCACAGGAUUCGCCCUUCCAGAACAGCAGCAUGUCCAGGAGGAGUGCCCAAUGAACUCUACUACUUACCACACAGGUUUGGCUCCAGAGACUGCGGAUUUCU